CUCUCUCUCUCUCUCUCUCUCUCUCUCUCUCUGUGUGUGUGUGUUUGUGUGUGUGUGUGCUUCUAUCAUUUCUGUUCCUGGAUAAUCCUGACUAAUGUACCUUAAAUAAAUUCUAUUAAAAAUGAGGCUGAACAGCCAUGAAGGCAGAGGGGCAUGUCUUUUCACAGUUCUGAGAAUAAGUAAGUGUUGAGUGCUCAGUCCUUAACAGGACACAGACACACCCUCUCUAAGCCCUAGGGAAUGUACUAGAGGGUCAGAAAGAAAGAACAUAUGAAAUGAAAAUAGAGAGAAAGGCUGUAGACCACUAUCUACUGGACAUGACAUGACAUGACCAUUGAAGUCAUGAACUCACAGCAGUUAUGGUUGCCAGGACCUGGUCUGCACAAGCCUGGGCCUGUCAAUAGUCAACCAUUGAUGAAGCUAUUAACUAUGGAUGGAUGUUUGGGGAGGGGUAGUCAUUGUCUUCAGUUGUGUACUCCCUGAUGAGUCCACUAGUGUCUCAUUGGUAAUUACAUAUCUAUGGCCACAUGGAUUGCCCUAGUUACACUUAGUGGCUCAUAAAACAAGCUACCAAAAACAUGAACAGGGGAGAGAGAUUAUUAGGCAGAAGGUUUUAGGUGUGGGGGGGAAUUGAUAAUAUGGGCAUGAUGGUAAUCAGAAUAUAUGAUAUACAUGCAUGAAAUUGUCAUAGGAUUCUUUAAUAAUAAAAUAAGGCUGAUGUGUGUUUGAAACUCAUCUCUGACUUCCUAUACUGUAAUUCACACUCUUGAGGAUUUCAUGAUCCUUGCAUUUAUCUGGAGGAAAUGUAUAACGGUGUGUUACCCUGAAUAUCUUCCCAUUUCUGCAUUCAGGAACACUAUAGCAAAACCUUUGAAUUGGUCAUGCUGGGGUUCUUUAGGUGACAGAGACUGUCAAGUGCUUCCUUUCACAUUUGAAGACCAGACAGUGUUUGGUUUAUUAUUGCACUGACUUUCUAGACUUAGGAAAGCAAAGGAGAAAACAGUAACACAGAGCAAUGUGGCCAUAUCAUCCUUAUGGCAUGUUCACUUUCGUUCUAAAAGGAAAAAGAGAAUAACAACCAAUAGUGAUGCCAGAGUCACUUCCAUUACCCAAGGAUAUGAGCGGCUUCAAAGCUGGAAAAUAAUAAGACUGAGGCCACUCAUUUGUACAUCUCCUUUCUUCUAUUCCCUUUCUCAUGUGACUCCUCAGAUAUUUUCCUUCCUUACCUCAUCACUUUGUCUUAGGUACCAACACUCAGAGGCUUUCUCAAACUGGAAAGCCAUGGACCAUUCUGGCCUGGAACUCAGCUUAUUUUUUCCUGUAUUUCAUUUUCAUUUUGGUGAUUUGGAGCUCAAGUGAAAAGUCAGUGCUCAGUCCCUUCGUGUGUCCAGGACUUGUGGGUCAUCCCCUUAGAGUAUCACUGCAGAGGACCUGAACCCUCACAGCAUCCAGAUCUUGGUAAUUUUUGACUCUGAUGUUUCUCUUGUUGCAUGAAAU
rnacentral:lncRNA from 1 species